rnacentral:rRNA from 1 species
AAAUGACUCCCGGUAACAGAUAUCUCAACUCACGCAUCGAUGAAGAACGWAGCAAAAUGCGAUACUUGGUGUGAAUUGCAGAAUCCCGUGAACCAUCAAGUUUUGGAAUGCAAGUUGCGCCUGAAGCCAUCCGGCCGAGGGCACGCCUGCCUAGGCGUGACGC